UACGGAGGGUGCGAGCGUUGUCCGGAAUCACUGGGCGUAAAGGGCGCGUAGGUGGCCCGUCAAGUGGCUGGUGAAAUCCCGCGGCUCAACUGCGGGGCUGCCGGUCAUACCGGCGAGCUAGAGCACGGUAGGGGCAGAUGGAAUUCCCGGUGUAGCGGUGGAAUGCGUAGAGAUCGGGAAGAAUACCAGUGGCGAAGGCGUUCUGCUGGGCCGUUGCUGACACUGAGGCGCGACAGCGUGGGGAGCAAACAGG
rnacentral:rRNA from 1 species